UACGUAGGGCGCAAGCGUUAUCCGGAAUUAUUGGGCGUAAAGAGCUCGUAGGCGGCUUGUCGCGUCGUCCGUGAAAACUUGGGGCUCAACCCCAAGCUUGCGGUCGAUACGGGCAGGCUAGAGUUCGGUAGGGGAGACUGGAAUUCCUGGUGUAGCGGUGAAAUGCGCAGAUAUCAGGAGGAACACCGGUGGCGAAGGCGGGUCUCUGGGCCGAUACUGACGCUGAGGAGCGAAAGCGUGGGGAGCGAACAGG
rnacentral:rRNA from 1 species